rnacentral:lncRNA from 10 species
UCUUGGAGAAACUCGAGGGAAGGUACAUGAUGUGUUGACCUUCACUUAAUGUGCAGUUUGAAUAUGUCAUCCCACUGCCUUUGGCCUUCAUAGCUUCUGGCCCAGGAAAGGGAAGAAUUACAUGAAGACACAUGGAGAGGGGAGCCAAGGGGAGAGGUUCAGAAGAAACAAAGCCUGCUGAUAUCUUGAUCUUGGGGUCUAACCUCCAGAACGGUGAUGAAAUGUCUGUUAUUUAAGCCAUUCGGUCUGUGGUAUUGGUGACAACAGUCUAAGCAGACUAAUGCAAGCCCUGACACAGACUUUAUGCAAUUUAAUUCUCUUUUCUCAGUCAUGAUUUUCUCCUCUGUAAUAAGCUCUAAUUAUCAGUGAUGAAAAUUAAAUGUGUAAAUGUGUACAUUAUUGUUUAAAGACAAGUAAAGAAAACCAAC